rnacentral:tRNA from 1 species
GCCACUGUGGUGAAACUGGCAGACACGAGGGACUUAAAAUCCCUUUCUGGUAACAGAGUGCGGGUUCAAAUCCCGUCGGUGGCA